rnacentral:rRNA from 1 species
CUGGGUUUGACAUCCCGAGAAUCCCGCAGAAACGCGGGGGUGCCUCUUUGAGGAACUCGGUGACAGGUGCUGCAUGGCUGUCGUCAGCUCGUGUCGUGAGAUGUUGGGUUAAGUCCCGCAACGAGCGCAACCCUUGCCUUUAGUUGCCAGCAUUGAGUUGGGCACUCUAAAGGGACUGCCGGUGUUAAACCGGAGGAAGGUGGGGAUGACGUCAAGUCCUCAUGGCCCCUAUGUCCAGGGCUACACACGUACUACAAUGGCCGGUACAAAGGGCUGCGAACCCGCGAGGGGGGGCUAAUCCCAGAAAGCCGGCCUCAGUUCGGAUCGGAGUCUGCAACUCGACUCCGUGAAGUUGGAAUCGCUAGUAAUCGCGGAUCAGCAUGCCGCGGUGAAUACGUUCCC